rnacentral:rRNA from 1 species
UACGUAGGGUGCGAGCGUUAAUCGGAAUUACUGGGCGUAAAGCGUGCGCAGGCGGCUUUGCAAGACAGAUGUGAAAUCCCCGGGCUCAACCUGGGAAGUGCAUUUGUGACUGCAAGGCUAGAGUACGGCAGAGGGGGAUGGAAUUCCGCGUGUAGCAGUGAAAUGCGUAGAUAUGCGGAGGAACACCAAUGGCGAAGGCAAUCCCCUGGGCCUGUACUGACGCUCAUGCACGAAAGCGUGGGGAGCAAACAGG